GUGCUGGUUUUGGCAGCACACAUGCUAAAAUUGGAAUGAUACAGGGAUGUGAAGCAUGGCCCCUGACCAAAGAUGACAUUCAUAUUAGUGAAAUGUUCCAUGUUUUU